rnacentral:sRNA from 1 species
UAUAUACCUAUUUUUCUUUUAGGGAGUAC